AGAGUUUGAUCAUGGCUCAGGACGAACGCUGGCGGCGUGCUUAACACAUGCAAGUCGAGCGAGAACCGAACCCUCGGGUCCGGGGAAAGCGGCGAACGGGUGAGUAACACGUGGGCAACCUGCCCUGGAGACUGGGAUAACGUCCCGAAAGGGACGCUAAUACCGGAUGACGCGUGGUCCGCCAAGUGGACUACGCCAAAUGGUAGCUUCGGCUUCUGCUCUGGGAUGGGCCCGCGCCGGAUUAGCUAGUUGGUGAGGUAACGGCUCACCAAGGCAACGAUCCGUAGCUGGUCUGAGAGGACGAUCAGCCACACUGGGACUGAGACACGGCCCAGACUCCUACGGGAGGCAGCAGUGGGGAAUCUUGCGCAAUGGGCGAAAGCCUGACGCAGCAACGCCGCGUGAGCGAAGAAGGCCUUCGGGUUGUAAAGCUCUGUCAGGAGGGACGAAGCCACUCAGGUUAAUAGCCGAGAGGGUGACGGUACCUCCAGAGGAAGCCCCGGCUAACUACGUGCCAGCAGCCGCGGUAAUACGUAGGGGGCAAGCGUUGUCCGGAAUCAUUGGGCGUAAAGCGCGUGUAGGCGGCCAUCCAAGUCCGAUGUGAAAGCUCGGGGCUCAACCCCGAGUCUGCAUUGGAAACUGGUUGGCUUGAGUCCGGAAGAGGAGACUGGAAUUCCUGGUGUAGCGGUGAAAUGCGCAGAUAUCAGGAAGAACACCGGUGGCGAAGGCGGGUCUCUGGGACGGUACUGACGCUGAGACGCGAAAGCGUGGGGAGCAAACAGGAUUAGAUACCCUAGUAGUCC
rnacentral:rRNA from 1 species